rnacentral:rRNA from 1 species
GGUAUGGGAUGAGCUUGCGUCCGAUUAGCUAGUUGGCGGGGCAACGGCCCACCAAGGCGACGAUCGGUAGCCGGCCUGAGAGGGUGAUCGGCCACAUUGGGACUGAGAUACGGCCCAGACUCCUACGGGAGGCAGCAGUAGGGAAUAUUGCACAAUGGGGGGAACCCUGAUGCAGCAACGCCACGUGUGGGAAGAAGCAUUUCGGUGUGUAAACCACUGUCAUGAGGGAAUAAGGCCUAUUUUCGGAUAGGAUUGAAUGUACCUUGAGAGGAAGCACCGGCAAACUUCGUGCCAGCAGCCGCGGUAAUACGAGGGGUGCAAGCGUUGUUCGGAAUUACUGGGCGUAAGGGGAGCGUAGGCGGAGAUUCAAGCGGAUUGUACAAUCCCGGGGCCCAACCCCGGCUCUGCAGUCCGAACUGGAUCUCUUGGAUAGUUCAGGGGCAGGC